rnacentral:rRNA from 1 species
CCUACGGGGGGCAGCAGUGGGGAAUAUUGCACAAUGGGGGAAACCCUGAUGCAGCGACGCCGCGUGAGUGAGGAAGUAUUUCGGUAUGUAAAGCUCUAUCAGCAGGGAAGAAAAUGACGGUACCUGACGAAGAAGCCCCGGCGAACGACGUGCCAGCAGCCGCGGUAAUACGUAGGGGGCAAGCGUUCUCCGGAUUUACUGGGUGGAAAGGGAGCGUAGACGGCUAAGCAAGUCAGAAGUGAAAACCCAGGGCUCAACCUUGGGAGUGCUUUUGAAACUGAGUAGCUAGAGUGCAGGAGAGGUAAGCGGACUUCCUCGUGUAGCGGUGAACUGCGUCGAUAUUAGGAGGAACCCCAGUGGCGAAGGCGGCUUACUGGACUGUACCUGACGUUGCGGCUCGAACGCGUGGGGAGCAAACAGGAUUCGAUACCCUUGUAGUC